rnacentral:misc_RNA from 1 species
GAGUGAGAGAGUGCUGUUGCAUAGCUUAAAAUCACAAGAUGAUGCUUCAGCAGUUGAAGCUUCCAUCCCGCCUCCUAAAGUCUCUGCCUCUUUGUUCCCUUCCGUCUACCACUACCACCCUUCAAGAUAUUGCUUCUUCUCUCCCAACUAAAGGUAUUGCGAAGGUUGUAUUGAAAAAGGGGAAGAUACAACUUUUUAAGGAGGGAAGCCCAAUGGUAUACAGUGGAGCAGUUGAUAGAAUAAUAGGUAGACCACCACCUAAGUCUGGAGAUAUUGUACUGGUAGCUGAUGGGACGGAGAAACCUAUUGGUUGGGGCUUGUAUAAUUCUGCAUCCAUGUUCUGUGUUAGGCUUAUGCAAUUAGAAGAGGAAGCAAUAAGAGAUCCUUCUUGUGCAUUGAACGUGGAGAAACUACUUGAAACAAGAAUUGAUGCUGCAAUACAGUUGCGAAGGAGGUUGGGUCUGCCCUCAUCCCAUACAAAUGCAUAUCGCCUUGUUAAUAGUGAAGGAGAUAGAUUGUCUGGAUUGAUUGUUGAUGUCUUUGGAGAUUUAGCUGUAAUAGCAUCAUCUGCUGCAUGGGUUGAGAAGUACAGACCAGAAGUAGAGGCUUGCAUCAGUAGAAUUAAUGAAAUUAAUCAUAUAAACUGGAGACCAUCAAUUGAAAUUUUAAGAGAAGAAGGAAUGGAUGUGACCGAUUUGAAAGAUAAUCAUUCAUCAAUUUGUCGUGAAAGGACAAAGGUAGUAGAAAAUGGAAUUUCUUAUGCAAUAUCUCUGGUGGGCCAAAAGACUGGAUUUUAUGCUGAUCAACGUGAAAACCGCCAAUUUAUAUCAACAAUUUCAGCUGGUCAGAAAGUUCUUGAUAUUUGCUGUUAUAGUGGUGGUUUUGCUCUAAAUGCAGCAUGUGGAGGUGCCAUGGAUGUUGUAGGUGUUGACACGUCAUUGCCUGCUCUAGAGCUUGCUAGAGAAAAUAUUAUUCUUAACCACCUGGACCCAGGAAAAAUAUCGUUUUUGAGAGAGGAUGCAACAGAGUUUAUGAAGGCUGCUCUUGCCAGAAAUGAAUAUUGGGAUUUAGUUAUUUUGGAUCCUCCUAAAUUGGCACCAAGAAGGAAGGUUCUUCAAAGUGCAUCAGGCAUGUACAGAAAUCUGAACUCAUUAGCAAUGGGAUUGACGAAGAAAGGUGGUCUUCUCAUGACUUGUUCAUGUUCGGGAGCCGUGACCCAAAGUGGAAUAUUCUUGCGUAUUCUGCAGGGCGCUGCAUCAAUGGCAGGAAGAAAGAUCACAGUUCUAAGGCAGGCUAGUGCAGCUUCUGACCAUCCUAUUGACCUAUCCUAUCCAGAAGGUGCAUAUUUAACCAAUAUCUUACUUAGAGUAUUAUAAAUGUCUCAGUAAUAUGCGAUUUUGUACACAAACAAGAAGCAAAUUGUAUACACACAUUAGCUAAAUGUCAUUCCAUUGCUCAAGUACAACAAUAUUUUCACCUGUAUGAAAUAAAAUUUCAAACAUGAAUGAAUUACUUUCAAGCUAAGACUAUAUCUCAAACAUUUUAUACACAAAAUUACUUCAACCAUAAGUGAGAUUCCAAAGAAAAUUUUCAGUGGCCUCCAGGAGUUCUGUUCCAUGAUAAAUAAGAGGGAUCUCCCAGCCGCCUAGGCUUGACGAGAUACACAACAGUGAAGCACAUUGCCAAGAAGAAGCAGAGUCCACCAACAAUGAGAUAAGCAAUGCCAAGAAAGUCAUUUUUUCCACCAAGCCAGCUAGUAGUAGAAAGCACUAGCUUUUUCUUGCCGUUGAAGCUGUACGUAUUAUAGUUGUUCUCCAGUGUUACAAGUAUCUCAUCAUUGGGGAGUAGAUCCUGCUCUAUCUUACCAUACAACUUUCUAAAAGUUGGCAGAGCUGCAGUUCGCAUCCAAACAAUGAGGUCCUCCUGCUCACUUAAUGGUAUUGAUGCAUUGAGACUUGCACCACCAAUAAGACUUCCAUUCUGAAAGUUCUUUGGAAAGACAUCUUUGCCAAAUUUGUGGUCCCUAUCACUUUUCCAUGAGAUACCCUUUUUAUUCACAUGCAACUGCUCGUUGUUGCGGGAGAAACUAUAAGUAUCAUUAAACAAACUCCAGGCUAUUAGACCACAUGGUACAAUUGCAGCCCCAUUCGUAUCUUCAGGCUUACAAGUACUGGUUUCAUUCUCGCCACUAGGACUUCUCAGUUGCUCAUCGCUUCGGCUCUUCACAUACCUGCGAUGAUUCUGGUAAAAGUUGUCAAGCUGAUAAUACACAUAAAUAGGCUGCUUCAUGUGCUUAGUCACUUUUAAUGUCCUGUUGCAUGUUGUAUUAGCAGAACUUCGAAUAUAUCCAACCUUAUCGGUUCUAUUUUGUUCAGGAAUGCAUUCAGUGUCAUAGCGGUCAACAAUUUCAACAACAUCUCGGGAAGCAAACAAGGAAACAACUCCAAUAGGAAUGAAGAUAAUGCUAACAAGCAUAAAUGCAGAAAUCACCCAUCGUGGCGUGAGAAUUGGUUUACAAGCUGGAAGUUCUUGUUGGGUAAACUUUGAAUCUGAAAAAAGAGAAAAUAACAUUAAGUACAUUAAAGAACUUUCAAGAAAAAGAAAAAAAAAAUCAGUGAAUUUGUGAACUAAUUGCUCCAAGAAUAAUACAAAAGAUAAUGCUGUUCAACAAUUUAUUAUUCCCUUCUCUUUUUUUAUCAAUACCAUCAUUUAGCCACUCAAUAUGACCACCUGCACAUCUUAAUAAAGGCAAAUAGUCUACAUAUAAUUUUCCUCAUGGGCACAUAGUCUACAUAUAAUUUUCCUCAUGGGCACAUAGUCUAAAUAUAAUUUUCCUCAUGGAACAUAAUGAGGGCAUCCAUGCCCACAAGGUUCCUCGUAUUGCAAGGGUGGGGGAGAGUUGUCUAUUCCAAUAUAUUCCCAAAAAUUUCAAACAUUUGAGUCCUCAACCAAUUUAGAAAUUUGUGUGAUCUAGACAAUUUACUUAUGAAUAUGCCUACUACUUUAAACAUUCUUUUUUCAGUUUUAACUUAGAUUGAUGAGUAUGAUGGCAAGAAAAGGCACGGCUUUAGAUGGUUGCAAGAAAAAAAAAAAGAAAAUAUUAAAAUUGUAUUGCAUGAUUGGGAUUUAUAAAGAAACAGACAUAUCUCAGAAUGUAUUUUGCUGCUGAAUUCAUAGUUAUUUUCUGCUCUAGCAACCAUGAUCCAGGCUGUUAUUAACGAAGUUCAACUACCAAAACCUAAUCAAAGAAGUAUUUCCUAGCAGCAUAUCUAGAUAAAGCAUCUAAACUAACAAGAAGCUCCAACAAUAGAACUAACUAACAAUUGUAAAUUUCAAAAAAAAA